GAGUUUGAUCCUGGCUCAGAUUGAACGCAGGCGGCAGGCCUAACACAUGCAAGUCGAGCGGUAGAGAGGAGCUUGCUUCUCUUGAGAGCGGCGGACGGGUGAGUAAUGCCUAGGAAUCUGCCUAGUGGUGGGGGAUAACGUUCGGAAACGGACGCUAAUACCGCAUACGUCCUACGGGAGAAAGCGGGGGAUCUUCGGACCUCGCGCCAUUAGAUGAGCCUAGGUCGGAUUAGCUAGUUGGUGAGGUAAUGGCUCACCAAGGCGACGAUCCGUAACUGGUCUGAGAGGAUGAUCAGUCACACUGGAACUGAGACACGGUCCAGACUCCUACGGGAGGCAGCAGUGGGGAAUAUUGGACAAUGGGCGAAAGCCUGAUCCAGCCAUGCCGCGUGUGUGAAGAAGGUCUUCGGAUUGUAAAGCACUUUAAGUUGGGAGGAAGGGUCGUAACCUAAUACGUUACGGCUUUGACGUUACCGACAGAAUAAGCACCGGCUAACUUCGUGCCAGCAGCCGCGGUAAUACGAAGGGUGCAAGCGUUAAUCGGAAUUACUGGGCGUAAAGCGCGCGUAGGUGGUUCAGCAAGUUGGAUGUGAAAGCCCUGGGCUCAACCUGGGAACUGCAUCCAAAACUACUGAGCUAGAGUACGGUAGAGGGUAGUGGAAUUUCCUGUGUAGCGGUGAAAUGCGUAGAUAUAGGAAGGAACACCAGUGGCGAAGGCGACUACCUGGACUGAUACUGACACUGAGGUGCGAAAGCGUGGGGGAGCAACAGGAUUAGAUACCCUGGUAGUCCACGCCGUNAACGAUGUCGACUAGCCGUUGGGAUCCUUGAGAUCUUAGUGGCGCAGCUAACGCAUUAAGUCGACUGCCUGGGGAGUACGGCCGCAGGUUUAAACUCAAUGAAUUGA
rnacentral:rRNA from 1 species